rnacentral:lncRNA from 1 species
UGGGAGCCAAUUGAUGAGGCUGUGAAUCUCCUGAUCAAGAACUGAAAAUAACUUGAACUGAUGUGCAAAUUAAAUACACAGUCACUGGCUACAAGUCAUGAGGCAAACUAGAGAAGACUUGAAAGGUUCCAGGAAGAUGCAUGGCUCAUGCAAGCAGCACAUGCUCUCCUGCAACUAAUCCGCCGAGCUUGUUUGCCAAACAAGAAAGAUCUGCUGCCCCUUUUGCGAUUCUCGAAUUGUUUCUUGGCCAUGAUAGCCAUGGCCUCACAAGUGCAUGUCAAAAAUGCUGAGGGAGAAGACUCCCACCUGCAACCCCACACCGAAAGAGAAAGGAAACGAACCAACACUGCAAACACAUGCACGGCACCCCCACAAGUCCCUUCACGCCUUGUCUUGCCUUCUCGUCGGGGCCUUCUCCUCCCUGGUGCGCCGUCGCAAUCUUAGCCGCGCCUAACGAGCGAGGCAAGAAGCCGACGAGAGCACAUGAGACAUAGCUGUCGUAGCAGUACCAGCCUUGAACAAGGGGGUUGCACCGGCAACGACUUCCAUUUUGCUGUGUUUCACUGUGCUUGUUGCUUUCUUUGUCGAGCUCGUCGAUGUGGAGCAGAACUUUGAUUUCGCUGAUGACACAGUAAGUAAGAAACGCUAUUAUUGUGGAAUGCCUCGUAGUUAAAGACUUGGUAACUAUAAAUUCUAGUCAAAUCAGAGCUUAAAUACUGAUAGCAAAUAAGAUUUUCUCAACUAUACGAGAAAAUAUCUUUAUUUUGUUGAGUGAAAUCUUCUAUUCUGUUGAGAAAAAUCCUUCCUUCUAAUCUAUAUAAAUAGGAGAGGGAGUAUUCAAGUUUCUUCAAUAAAAUUUUUUCAAUAAUUAUAUCUUCUAUUUUUUUCCAACAAAAACAUCGGAGCAUAUCAUGAAAAGCUAAAACUAUUGUUCCCCUUCACAUUGUAGCAUCUGCUACCAAAUCUAAAAGAGAUAUGUGAUGCAUCUACUACCAAAUCUAAAAGAGAUAUGUGAUGCAAAAUGUUAUCACGAUUCCUGAGCACAUCUAAUCAGUAAAGCUCCUUUCAAGAUUCUUAAUGAAGUCUAUAGAAGGAGCAAAAGGAUCUAAUUAUGCAAUCAAAAUUGGUUCUCCAAUAAUAUUUUUCCUACUUAUCGCAGAUUAUGGAGAGUUAUUUCAGGUUGCUUACACUAAUCCAUCGAGGAUGUGACUGUCUCCACGAUCUAGAAUGACCAGCUGCUGUUAUUGCUGAUGGGCCACCUAAAGGUCAAAGGCUUCCAAAGAGUUCUUUGUUGAAAGGCCACAUAUCCUCUCUUCGUCCUGGAGUUGCGAGAUGACUGAUCUGCAACAAAUAGAUCAUUUAAUACUAAUAGAGAGAUCCUAAUAAAUGUUUCCAUAAACUCUCUGCUUGACUUUAUAAAUCCAUCCUCUUUCAGGCUUGGUCUCACGAGACAUAAGCCAAAAGAUUUGCUAGUUCACAAUAGUAAUAGAAAGAAGCAUGAACAAGCACCAUAAAGGAAAGGAGAGUAAAGAAUGUGCCUCAAAAUAAAAGCAUCUCCUUUCUCUACAGAGAAAAUGCAAAUUAAGGUACAAACAAUAUAAACACAGGAUGAUGCAGACAAGUAUAUUACUACUUUGCAUAAGAAUUAAGCUAACCAGUGGCUUGAAGAAAGCUUCACACCUUUUGGAGGGUACUUGAAUUGUUGCUCAGUAUCUUCCCUGCGUCUUCAUUCUCUUUUCAAUAGACUAGAUUAUUCGUAUUACAACAUCAAUUAUUAUAAACUGCUACUUGCCUAAUAAGAUCUAAUCACACAAGACAUGACCACAGGUGGUUUGGUACGGCGUCACUCCUCAUCUCAGCUCUUGAGUCUCAUAUCCCAGUCGUACAGAGAUGGCAAGAUCUACCAUCACCACAAUUGAGACAUAGCCCUGUAGAAGAUGAAAUUUCUAUAAUUUGAUUUUCAAAAGAAGCACCUUUUUUUCUUAUCCAUUGUUAAUAUUAGAAUGAGAUAUCACCGCAAACGGAUGGACAAUCCGACCAAAGGAAGAAAACCGUAGGUGAUCUUGGGAAACCAAAUAACUGGCUUUACAAGAAGAGGCUUUCUUCACAAAACUAUUGAUCGCAAGCUGGUGGUUCAUGCAUUAGAUUACCUAAAAGAAACUAAUUCAUUGAUCAAUCUCUCCUUCUCUAAGGUUGGAGCUGAAAUUAAAUGGCUGCAUCACAAAUCACGAAUGUCAAAUUGCAUCGAAAUCCUUUAUUAACAAGAACAAGCAUCCCUCGAACUUCCCAAACAAUCACCGAGUAUCCAGGGAAUUCUUACAGCAAAUGAAGAGGAUUGCGGAGAAAUUAGAGUGAGAAUUGCAAAUUUAGGGUAAUUUACUAGAAGAUGAAUCCCUAAACAAAAAUCAAAUAGAAACAAUUUCUCCAAUUCACAACAGCAAGAAAUUUCGAUUUGAAGCAAAAUCCAAAUCAACCCUAGAAAAAUGGCUAUGAGCAAACGAAAAUCCUUAAAGAAAAAAACACAGAUCUUGUGCAGGUUAGAGAAAAAGCAUUCCCUCUACCUUGAAGAAAAGGAAAAGAAUCGAUGGAAUUAACGCUCAUACCUCUUGCCACCCAAGAUGUUUGGGAGAAUUGGUGCUCGAGAUUGGCCGAUAGAAAUUAGAGAGGAAGGACCCUAAAGCAGCGGAAUCACAUCGGAGAAAACUCUCGAGCAAUGGUGUCGCGGUCUCGCUACGAACUGCCAAGGGAGGAAAG